rnacentral:rRNA from 1 species
AUUGAACGCUGGCGGCAUGCUUUACACAUGCAAGUCGAACGGUAACAGGGUGCUUGCACCGCUGACGAGUGGCGAACGGGUGAGUAAUGCGUCGGAACGUGCCGAGUAGUGGGGGAUAACGCAUCGAAAGGUGUGCUAAUACCGCAUACGUACUGAGGUAGAAAGUGGGGGACCUUCGGGCCUCACGCUAUUCGAGCGGCCGACGUCUGAUUAGCUAGUUGGUGAGGUAAAGGCUCACCAAGGCGACGAUCAGUAGCGGGUCUGGGAGGAUGAUCCGCCACACUGGGACUGAGACACGGCCCAGACUCCUACGGGGGGCAGCAGUGGGGAAUUUUGGACAAUGGGCGCAAGCCUGAUCCAGCCAUGCCGCGUGUCUGAAGAAGGCCUUCGGGUUGUAAAGGACUUUUGUCCGGGAGCAAAUACCCAGUGCUAAUAACACUGGGGGCUGAGAGUACCGGAAGAAUAAGCACCGGCUAACUACGUGCCAGCCGCCGCCGUAAGAC